AUUUUAGGAUAUGUUCAUUUCUGGAAGAGGUGGAGUCUUAAUUCCCCUCCCCUUGAGUGUAGGCUGGGCUUAGUAACUCUUUCCAUCUAACAGGGAUAGCAGAAGUGACAGCAUUGACUUCAGAGGGUAGGUCAUAAACGGCACCACAGCUUCCUUGCUAGCUUUUUCAUUCACUCUGGGCCCAAGUCUGGGGAAGCCAGCCGCCAUGUCAUAAGGACAGUCAGGCAGCCUAUGGAGAGGUCCAGGUGUCCAGGAACUGAGGCCUCCUACCAACGGAUAGGCCCUCCAGGACCAGUUCCACUGACUCCAUCUCUCAUCAACAGAGUGAUUAAGAAUUGCCUUGCAGAAAAUCUGCAAAGUCACGAAGCCAAGGCGUGUGCAAAAAAAGAAAUCAUGACCUGAAACAAACUCGGAAUCAAAGAUGAUCCCUCCCACAGAAUCCAAAGACUGGGACACAACCAGAGCUUGAAGGCAGCAAGAAAGAAGAGGAGAAAACAGUGGUCUAGCAGGCAUCUUCUUCACUCUCAUUGACCAGGAUUGUGUGGCAUAGCUACCCCCUGCUGCAAGGGAGCUAUGCAAGCUCCACAUUAGAGACAAGAAAGGGAAACAGGAGUUGGAAAUGGACUUUGAGCUAGCCAACCUACAAUAUCAAUCACGAAAAAUGUCUAAAGAACUUUAAGAGAUACAUAAACCACUAGAAAAAGGAUAAAUUCUAAGGAACUCUACCACUUUAGCAACAAUGACACUUUACAGAUGAAUUUUUCUACCAAAAUAAACCUUGAAAACUUUGAUUAUGACAACUUUUUUAAAAUGAAAAAAACUUUAAAGAUUGCUACUUUAUAUUCAUUCUUUCCUCAACGUAAAAUAAUGUCAAAAAAUUAUAUAUUGCAGUUUUUUUAACAAGACCCUCCACCACUGAAAAGAUUAUGACUCACUGAAGGCUCAGAUGAUGUGGUCUGGAACUGCACCUGCAAUAUCUUGGAGGUACACCUGUAUUAAAAACCAGUAAGAGACUUCUGGCUCCAGGCAAGAUGGAAUAAGUGCAUUCCACUCUAUUUUUCCUGCUAAUUACAACUAUAAACCCUGGACCAAAGACAAAGCAACUACCAGAAGACUUUGAAAGGUGAAGAAAAUAAGACAGACUUUCUAGAGACUUCAGAUCUUCAGCAAUGAGUUCAUUGGAGAUUUUUUGCCACCUAUGUAUCUCACCCUGGGUGCUACAGCAGUACAACCCAGAACCACCAACAGGUAUAAAUCAACAACAAAAAAGGCCCAAGAAAAAAACCCAUGGUCUCUAACCAAAGGACUGGGAAGACAGCAGCCCUGCAGGACAGAACCCUCCAAACUGGGUGCUGUGUGAUCUGUGAGGCAGAGACUUACUGACCAUCCCCACCCUGCACUAAAGAGAGCAGACGUGACAGCCCUCUCCCCCUCCCACCAGGGGCUGCAGCCACAGACUAUGGGGGAAAAGCCCUGUUGACCAUUCUUGCCCUAACAAGGUAAAUGCCAGCAAAGAGGCAGCACCUUUCAUACCUCCCCAGUGGCUAACCACUAAUACAGAAGAUUUAAGUAGGAUCCAAAGCCUCAUAAUGUGACACUCAAAAUGUCCAGGAUACAAUCCAAAAUGAGUAUACUCAUCAUACCAAAAAACAAGAUAAAUCUCAACUAGGAUGAGUAAGGAUAAUCGACAACAACACCAGAGUUGAUACAGAUGUUGGAAUUAUCAGACAAGAAUUUUAAAGAAGUUACCAGAAAAAUGUGCUAACAACAAGCAAUUAUAAACAUUCUUGAGAAAUUUUAAACUCCCAUAGUUGAAAACAUAGUAUAGGAGUAUGUACCCUCUACCCAACUUCUGCCAAUGGUAAAAGUUGCAAAGUUCAUAUAUUUUCCUGAAAGUAAUUCAGUAUUAGCUCUAAGAGACUCACUUUUAAAUCUGAAAAUACAAAUAGGUUAAAAACUAAAAGUACAGGAAAAGAUAUGCGAUGAGAAAAAUAACUAUGAGAAAAUUGGAGUGGCUAUAUUAAUAUCAGGCAAAAUACAUCACAUAAGAAUUAUUUCUAGAGCUAAAGAAGGACAUUUCAUAAUAAUAAAAGAGUCAAUAUAUCAGGAAGACAGACCGCUAUAAAUGCAUAUGUGCCUAAUAACAUAGCUUCAAAACACAUAAAGCAAAAACUAACAGAACUAAAAAGAAAAACAGGUAAGUCCACAGUCACAAUGUGAGAUUUUAACCCACUUUUCUCAGUAAUUGAUAGAACCACACACAAAAAUACCACUCAGAAUUCAGAAGAUCUGAACAACACUGUCAACCACUAUAACUCUGUAGACAUGGAGAUGCUCCACUAAGAUCCUCCUUCAAGGAAAGACAACGCACUGUGUGGUCAGUUUACUGCCUCUCCAUCCAAAGUCACACCUUUUGCCUCAAAUUCAAUGAAAUCCCAAACAAAAUCCCUAUAGGUUUUUUUGGUAAAAAUUGACAAGCUGAUUUUACAAUUUAUAUGGAAAUACAAAGUACCUAGACAACCAAAACAAGUUUGAAAAGGAAAGCUAAAGUAAAAGGAGUUAAACUACUGAAAUUCCAGACUUACAAUAAAGCUCUAGUAAUCAAGACUGAUAUUGACACAAGGAGAGAAGUAUAGAUCAAUGGAACAGAAUAAAGUCCAGAACACGAUCCAUACAUAUUUGGUCAAAUGAUUUUGACAAAGAUACCAAAAAGAAAGGAUAGUCUUUUCAACAAAUAAUUCUGUAACAACGAGAUACCUGCGUGUUUUUUUUUAAAUGAACCUCUACCGUUAUCUGCCUCAUACCAAAUAUUAACUAGAAAUGGAUCACAGGCAUGACAUAAAAGCUAAAACUAUAAAUAUGCAAGAAGAAAACAUAGGAGAAAAUGGUAGCUGCAUAGAGAUAAGCAAAGAUUUCUUAGAUAGGAUACAAAAAACACAAACCAUAAAAGAAAAAUAUGGAUAAAUUGGACAUGAUCAAAAUUAAAAACUACUCUUCCAAAGAUAUUGCAAAAAUAAUAAGAGGCAAAUCACAUCAUGGGAGAAAAUAUUCUCAAUACAUAUAUCUGACAAUGGCCUUAUAUCCAGAAUAUAUACAGAACUUGUAACAACAAAGUAAGUAAAGACAACUCAAUUUAAAAUGGACAAAAGAUUUAAAAGCAUUUCACCAAAAAGGAUAAAUAACUGUCUAAUAGGCACAUGAAAAGAUGUUUAACAUCAUAGUCUUCAGAGAAAUACAAAUUAAAACCACAAUGAGAUACCAUUAUAAACCAUUAGAAUGGCUAAAUCGUAAAAAUUGAUGCUACCAAGUGCAGGGAGGAUUUAGAGCAAAUAAAACUCUCAACAUUGUUAGUGGGAAUGUAAAAUGGUACAACCACUUUGAAAAUGUUUGGUAUUUUACUAAAAAAAAGAAAAGAAUCUUUUCAUAUGACCUAGCAAUUCCACUCUUAGGGGUACUCAACAGAUUUGAAAAUACAUGUCCAUAACAAUACCUGUACACGAAUAUUCAUAGGAGCUUUAUUUGUAACAGUCAGUAACAGGAAAUAACCCAAAUACCAAAUAGGUGAAUUACUAGACAAAUUAUGGUACAUUCAUACAAUGGAAUACUACUCAGCAAUAAAAAGAAAUGAAAUACUGAUACACACUAAAACAUCAAUGAAUCUCAAAAACAUACUGAGCAAAAAAAGUUUUGACAAAACAGUAUAUACUAUAUAACUCAUUUAGAUGAAAUUUCAGAAAAGGCAAAACUAAUCUGCAGGGGUUAGAAUUGGGGGGUUGAGUGCAAAGGGACAGCAAGGAAUUUUUGGUAAUAGAAAUAUUCUGUAUCUUGAUUGUGUGGUGGUUAUAAAAUUAUAUUCAUUUAUCAUAACUCACUGAACUGUACAUUUAAAAUGGGUACAUUUUAUUGUAUGUAAAUUAUAACUCAAUAAAGUUGAUUAAAAAAAUUAAAGAUUGAAGACAUACCAAAUAGUAGCAUUCCUCACCAGGCUUUCCUCCUAGCUUUGGUUCUGGCUCUGAUUUCUUUGGAUUAAGGUCAAUGUCAUUCUGUUAGUCUGUUCUUCACCUCAACUCUGUCUUUUCCAUGAUUCCAUAUUCCACCCUAAAUUUUAUUAAUAUGAACUCUGUUUAUACUACAUCUCUUUAGAGCUCUUACAACCAAGCCACCAUUUAUGGUUCUAGAUAUAUGAUUCUUUUUCUUUCCUUACCUCAUAAGUAUUAUAAUACCACGUAAUAUAUUCAAACAGAUUCAACAAUCAUUAUUUAGUGCCUACAGUAGACACCAUAGCUACAAUAUGGCCUAUCCUUGAAGGCAUAAAGUCUAGCUUAGUAAAUUUAGCAAUUCUGACCUCCAGUAGAAUAUACCCCAAACACAAACAAUGUAGCACCAUGAAUAUAAAAUUUUUCAAUGGUGAAAAAUACAUAUAAUGAUUGGAAAAAAAUAUCUUAAGCAUUUCAUUUGAAUUUCAGAAAAAAAAUCUGAAUAUCUUUUUGUCACAUAUAAAUUAGAGAAUCAAGCUUAGAGGAAAGAAAACAUAGACGUCUUUAUCAACCAUCUAUCUCACUUUUCUAAAUCUGCAUUAGCAAAAGAGUCCUAAUGUGAAAUAAAAUUACAGCAUUUUAGGGGUAAAAGAUGCUUUCAAAAUUAUCUAGUACAAUCUCGUUAUUUUAAAAUCAAGAAAAUAGUGAACAGAGAAGUUAGAUGACUUGUUCAAGGUCAUAAAAUUACUAAUUGGAAAUACCAGGUUAUGUAGUUACAUAUCAGGUUCCCUAGCUCCUGCUACAUGCUACUGUAGAAUUCCAGAGGACAUCCUGGUGGCCUUAACUCUCUAUGGAAGGAGAGCAAGUUGCCAACAAUCUACAUUUGGCAUAAGAAUCUGAUUCUCCUGGAAAAUGUCAAACAACGAUUUCAAACAUGUUCCAGGAAGUCUUUUGUUUAUUCUGUCCAACUAAGACCAUAAGUUACCUGUUAUAACAUCAUUCCUCUAAUUUCUUUUCAAAUGAAAAUUUAAAAGUCAGCUUCUAAGCUAGGAUAUACCAUUUUUAUAAUUUUGCUUUUCCAUUUCCAAGCAUAUACAACAUCAAUACAGACAUUCACCUUAAUAAUACAGUUCUUAAUUACUAAUACAGUUCUUAAUACUCUUAGUCUCCUACAAUGUUUUUUAUUAAGUCUGUGAGAUAAUAGACAAAAUAUAUAUUGGUCUCUGCCCCUGGCUCCUGACACAGGGCUCCUGACAUCCUGGUAAUUUCCUGGGUGACAGGAGUGUCUUUUGUUCUAAUGAGGUAACUUUGGGUGGGCUUCUGGAAGGCUCCUGGAUGAGGGCUGGUCACCAGAAAGAACCAUAAUUAGAAGCUUGGGAUUUCUCAGCCCCACCCCCAUUCUCUUGAGAAGGGAGAAGGGCUGAAAACAGAGCUAAAGAUCAAUCAUGCCUAUCUGAUGAAGCCUCCAUAAAAAUCCCAACAGUAUGGGGUUUGGAGCUUCUAGGUUGGCGAAAACAUCCACAGUGUGUAUAGAAGCACUCUAUUUCACACACACAGAAGAUCCUGUGCUGGGGACCCUCCCAGGCCUUGCCUUAUGUAUCUCUUCAUCUGGCUGUUCAUCCAUAUCCUUUAAUAAACUGGUAAAUGUGAACUAGUGUUUCCCUACGUCCUGAGCUGCUCUAGCAAAUUAAUGGAACCUGAGGAGGAGGUGGCGGGAACCUCCAAUUUGUAGCCAAGGUGGACAGAAAGUUGUGGGUAACCUGUGGACCUACUACUUGCAACUGGCAACUCAGGUAGGGUGGGAGCAGUCUUCUAGGAUUGAGCCCUUAACCUGUGGGAUCUGAUACUAUCUCUAGGUGGACAAUGUCAGAAUUGAGUUAAAUUGCAGGACAUUCAACUGGUGUCGCAGAGAAUUGCUUGGUGUGGGGGAAAACUUCCACACAUUUGGGACCAGAAGUGUCAGUGAAGUGUUCUGUGUGAGGAGUAAAGGAGGCACACAGGAGAAAAAAACUGGGUUGUUUUUCUAAUAAAGUCAAAAAGUAAAAUAUAUAUAAACACAUGAUUAUUUGUACUAGAUAAUCUAUAAAGAACUACAAUUUAAUUUCAGCUCUGCCUAAGGGCAGGAUAAACUCAAAAUGAAAAAAAUCAAAAUACUAGUAUUUCUAAGAUUAUACAAAUAUGUAGUUUGGUUUUGGAGUACAAUACAGGUAAAACUAAGUAUUUUCACUUAAUACAAACCAUAAAUGCACAGCAACUCCAUAUAUUGAAAAUCAACCAAAACAAAGAUUACGUUCCACUUCUCUAUAAGAUUAACAUUGUUUCUUCAUUUUAAAGUCUACAAUAUUUUCCUAUUAUAAUUGAAAACAAACUUUAAACAAUUUCAUGUUAAAAUUUAAUUUCAGUCCAACCUAGAUUUCUCUCUUACCACCUAAUUUUCCUUCUUUUAUCCUUUCAGGUGUUGCCAAUCUUCUGGUUCCCAGAUUAUUCUUUGUUUCAUAAAAAUUUCCUAUCUGAGAAACUUACAUACCAAUAAUCAACAAGAAACUGUGCUAAGUUCUUUCACAAAUGUAACCUCAUCCUGUUUACUGUCAAAAACCUCAGGAACCAGACAGCAUAUUACUGCCCACGUUCCUUUAAGGACCCACUUGGGGUUCAGUGAGGCUCUCACUUUGAUAGCAGGGUCAGAAGAGUCCGGAUGCUUGGAUGCUCCACUUUCACCUCAACAGCUAAGACCUGAAAACUGCACUCUUCCUGAUUACUACAGUAAAUGACACUAUUUCAUUCUGAUGGCUUUCCUUUGUUUUGCUCUGUUUUUUUAAAAAAAGCAUUUAUUAUUUUAUUUACUUUAAAAAGUAGUAUACUCUUGGAUGAGAACAAUGUAGAAACUUUAAAAUUAUAUUAAUAAGUAAAAAUUUGAACCAUAAUCCCACCACCCAAAGUGGUAUAGAGUCUGUCAAUUUUUCUUAUUUCAGUUUUUUGGAAAUCCCUAAACCCCAGGACUUUAGCAGCAAAGGGAAAAUAAAGUACCUAGACCAUUUCAUAUUCCCAACAAAAUGAUUUCAACAACUGUUUGGGCUUCUUAGUUAUACAGAAAAUAGUCUUGUAAUCACAAAGUUCCCCCAUUUAUUUAAAAAAUAACAUCUUUCUUGAGGGAAGAAAACAGAUAUUGAAGACACAGGAAAGUACCAAGAAUAUAACAAACAUCCAUGAUUCCACCACCCAGAACUAACAAGUGUCAAUCUUGUCAUAUUUGCUUAUCCUUCCUUGCAUAAAGGAAUAAAACAUUACAACUAAAGUCAAAGUUUAAAUCCUGUUCCUUUCCCUCUCCCCAGCAGGAGCCUAUUAUCUUGAUUAGAGUAUACAUUUCCUGUCCACUUUUCAAAAUUUUAUAUACAUAUAUAUACUCUUAAGCCAUACAUAUUUUAAUAUACAUACAUGCAUCAAACUGUAUACAUUAUUCAGCACCUCUCUUACUUUAUUCAGCAUUGUUUUGCCACUACAUGCUACUGUGUUGAUAUAUAAACCUAGUUCACUGCUUUGAACAACUUUAUAAUGUUCCAUCAAAUGAGUGGACCUUUUAUUUACCCAUUCUUCCACUGAUGAACAUUUAGGAUACUUUCUUUUCCUUUUAAAGAUUUAAAUUUGAAAAUCUUAAAAUUUCCUUAAAAUUUUUCAACAAGUAGCUCCUAAAUAUUAUAUAAGCUACAAAUAUCUUAAGCUAUUUUUCUAAAAUUUAAUAUUUUAUAUGAUUUCUCAGGUAUCUUCCAGUUCCAACACUAACACACACACACACUCCUAUUAAUCUAAUUUCAAUUUUUUCAUCUAAGAGUUUUGUCUGAAUUUUUAAACUGUAAACUUUGAGUGUACAUACAUAGUAAUAUACAACUUAUGUAAUACUUAACUAUUGGAUAAAUAAGAGUGUAUAAUUGUUUUAUAAUAACAUAUAAUUGUAAUCUUUGUGUAUUGUAAUCUUUGUGAUCAUAUAUACUACAAUCACACUGAUUUAAUACAAGCAAUUACACUACUGGUACUUUCAAAAGUCCUUUGCACAAGGAAUAUAUCAGGAUUUGGUCAGUUGCUCUAAUAGAUCUUGCACUUGCUUUCCAAUUACUGUUUUUCCUCUGAAUUUUUAAAUAAGUUUGAUAUUUAUAAAGUUGAGUUUCAUUAUUUUAAAUCUUUUCUCACCUCUUGGGAGAAAAAUGUACAACAAAACUUCACUCAUCUAAUAAGCUCUAUCCAUUUGGAUUUGAUAAGUUUGGAUGAUCGCUUGGUUAGAACUUACUUUUGCAUUUUGUACAAAAAAUAUUAGUAAGUUUACUUAGACUUCAAAGAAGUUCUCAGUAAUUAUUUAAUAGUCUUAAGAAAAAAAAGGUUUUUCAAACACUCUAGAAGGUAUAAUUUAAGUACAUUUGAUAUGCUAAUUACAUGUCCCUCAUUUUCAUUAAAGUAUCUCCCAAAGAUCCCUGCUUUAUAAUUCUUUGUCAGCCAAUUCUGAGUUACUUUGCAGGCUCUAAAUGUUUAAAAAAUAUACAUUACAUAAGGUAUAUUAUUGCUACCGUCUCCACCCCCAAAUUAAUCAGGAUUAGUCAGAAAUUACUUGUUUACACCAUCAUUAUUGCAUUAGAUAUGUAUUAACUAAGUUCUGAAAUAUUCAAAACACUGUAUACUAAUAAUUUCUAUUCCUUUUUCAAACUGAUAUGUAGCUAGGUAAAUCUGAAAAUCAGUCUGACUCUUAUUUCAAAGAGCUUACCAACAUAUAUGUACAAUCUUUAGGUCUAUGUAUGAAGCCCAUCAUUCUACUGCGACAGUAAUAUCUGUAUUUUACCAAUAUGUCUCCAGCCACUAAAAGUCUUAAAAAACUAAAAGUUUAGUCCAUGUUUUAAAACUGUAACAAAAUUUAUACAGAUUUUUAAAGACUACUAAGUACCUAAGAAAUUCUGCAAAUCACUUUUCCUUCUACUGUAAAAACAAAAGGCUGAAUUUCUAACUUAUGGUUUUUAUUUUAUUUAUUUAUUUAUUGUUACAGAUUUUAUUUUUCCUUUUUCUACCAAAGC